rnacentral:rRNA from 1 species
GACGAACCGUCCAAACGUUAUUCGGAAUUACUGGGCUUAAAGGGUGCGUAGGCGGCUCUGCAAGUUGGGUGUGAAAUCCCUCGGCUCAACCGAGGAAUGGCGCCCAAAACUGUGGAGCUCGAGGGAGACAGAGGUGAGUGGAACUUGUGGUGGAGCGGUGAAAUGCGUUGAUAUCACAAGGAACACCGGUGGCGAAGGCGGCUUUCUGGCUGACAACUGACGCUGAGGCGCGAAAGCGUGGGGAGCAAACAGGAUUAGAUACCCGCGUAGUCCCU